GAGAGCGUAGCUCAGUUGGUAGAGCAACUGACUUUUAAUCAGUAGGUCCAGGGUUCGAAUCCCUGCGCUCUCA
rnacentral:tRNA from 1 species